rnacentral:pre_miRNA from 1 species
AGUAGGAACAGCCCCAGUGGCGGGGCCAGCUCUGGAAACCUGGAUUCAGCUCCGGCAGGAACUCCGGAGCUCUCCGUCUGCAGGGCCUGGAGGCUCCGGGGCGGG